CCUCCGCCGGGCGAGUCCGCGAGAAGUCCACUGAACCUUAUCAUUUAGAGGAAGGAUAAGUCGUAACAAGGUUUCCGUAGGUGAACCUGCAAAAGGGUCAUUGCCGGUGCCCGCCUGACUGGGGGCGCGUUGCACCCGACUCCCGGCAACGGAUAUCUCGGCUCUGGCAUCGAUGAAGAACGUAGCGAAAUGCGAUACUUGGUGUGAAUUGCAGAAUCCCGUGAACCAUCGAGUCUUUGAACGCAAGUUGCGCCCGAAGCCAUUAGGCCAAGGGCACGUCUGCCUGGGUGUCAAGCAUCGUUGCCCCAAACACAAAAUGUGCGAGGGGCGGAUAUUGGCCUCCCGUGAACAAGUGUCGCGCGGUUGGCCUAAACGGAAGUCGUAACAAAGUCUCCGUGGGAUUAACGUGGGUAAGUCUCAUUGCAGACCCCUCCUACGAUCGAACGACCCGCGAACCGGUGACAGCACACCGCCGGCCGCCGGGUGCAACGCGCCCCCAUGUCAGGCGGGCACCGGUGUUGAGUUUAAGCAUAUCAAUACCGCAGGAAAA
rnacentral:rRNA from 1 species